ACAUCCUAUCUUCCCUCUUACAUGAUUGUCUUUGGUAGUUGCUUUGCUCUGUUCUUAUUUUCUCUUUUAUUGCUCCGUUCCUUCGAAGCCUCUUCUUGGUUUUGCUCUUCUUGAUACAGAUUGGUCAGGUGAGCUUUUUCUUUUACUGAACUAUCUCAUCUAUAAUGCUGUUUAUUCCAAUAUGUUUUUUUGGUCGAUCAUUCGUGGACUAACUCAGCUUUACUUACUUUGUUUAUGGGUGUUUUAUAUUUUGCCGUUGCAUUAAGGUAAGCCUAUUUUAAAUUUCCUGUCUUCUUUGAUUCUUUAUUCUACCUUUCAUUUAUCCAUUAUUUGUUCUUAUUUGUGUUCUGCCUUUUUCCCCUGUUUUCCCUUUACAUUUUGCAUGAGCUUUCUUCGUCUGUGGUUGCUGUAAGGAACUUUCUUUCUUUGUCACUAGACACUUGCAAAUUGGACUGUUCUGUGAGCCACCGAAUGUUUUGCUUCCACUCAAAAGAGUGACAAUAAUUGUGCUUUUUCUUCAAUGGUUGGGCCUAUUUUCCACCUUGCCUAACCUUUUAAACUAUACCUGCUUCUUUGACUUUGCCGUCGAUUUUCCUUCUUGUUCGUAUGGUGUUAGGAGCUGUUUUUCUUCUCAGAAGGUGAUGGGAUUUGGUGGAUGACGAGCUCAAGAAGGUAAGGGGCUAGUAAUCUUCUGUCUUGGUUACUCUUUCCAUUUUUCUCUUUUUUCUUCAUCUCCCUUUUCCCUCCUACCUCUCUCGAGUAAUAAUAGUUAGUUUCUUCUAUUUUUUUGCCUUUUUUUCCCUAAUCUUUUUUUUCCUUUGCUAAAAGCAACAAAUCAUUUUCUCCUCUCCUCUGCGUCUCUGUUUGUUAUGUUCUCAGAUAUUUUGCUAUUAAGAAAACUUCAUUUUUUUUGGGCUUUGUAAUCACUGAAUCUCCACUAUACUUAAUUUUCUGACAUGCUUCAUUUUUUCCCAUCUUUUAAGGAUUUAGCUUGCAUGUUUCAUCAAUAAAUAUUUUCAUCAUUUUAAUCUGGACUUGGAUAAUAGCUACAUUUUUUGUCCAUUUUUUCCUUUUGUUAGGUGGGAAAAGAUGAUGAAGAUUGGAGAUGAAUUGAUGAUG
rnacentral:lncRNA from 1 species